rfam:Salmo salar isolate Sally breed double haploid chromosome ssa28, whole genome shotgun sequence.
GCGUUAGUGGUACAGUGGUAGAACUCUCGCCUGCCAUGCGAGAGGCUCGGGUUCAAUUCUCAGCCUAUGCA